rnacentral:rRNA from 1 species
AUUGAACGCUGGCGGCAGGCCUAACACAUGCAAGUCGAGCGAGCGGCGGACGGGUGAGUAAUGUAUGGGGAACUGCCUGAUGGAGGGGGAUAACUAAUGGAAAAGGUGGCUAAUACCGCAUACUAUCGGAUGUACCCAGAUGGGAUUAGCUAGUAGGUGGGGUAAUGGCUCACCUAGGCGACGAUCGCUAGCUGGUCUGAGAGGAGGAUCAGCCACACUGGAACUGAGACACGGUCCAGACUCCUACGGGAGGCAGCAGUGGGGAAUAUUGCACAAUGGGCGCAAGCCUGAUGCAGCCAUGCCGCGUGUAUGAAGAAGGCCUUAGGGUUGUAAAGUACUUUCAGCGGGGAGGCGUUACCCGCAGAAGAAGCACCGGCUAACUCCGUGCCAGCCGCCGCGGUAAUUC